rfam:Mortierella elongata AG-77 unplaced genomic scaffold K457scaffold_77, whole genome shotgun sequence.
AAUGUUGCUGUAAUAGUAACUGAACCUAGUACGAGAGGAGCCGCUCAUUCGGAUAAUUGGUAAUUGGGCCUGCCUGAGCAGGCGAUGGCCCAAACCUAUCAUCCGUUGGGUUAUGGCUGAACGCCUCCAAGUCAGAACCCGUGCUAGAACGCGACGCUUACCGCCUUGUGCUAUUUUAGUUGAGUACGAAUAGACCUACGGUCCUGAAUCUUACGAACGUGGGUUAUCUUGCAAAGCGGAGAGGCUUUGUGAGGUUCCUGCUAAUGCUAAUUUCAAAUAUUGGAAGAGAUAAAUCCAUUGCAGAUGACUUUAAUUGAACGGGGUAUAGUAAGCAGUAGAGUAGCCUUAUUGCUACGAUCUGCUGAGAUUAAGCCCAUUGUACUAUAGAUUU